GGCGCUGUAGCUCAGUGGUAGAGCGCGCUCGUUGGGAAGUGACCAACCUGACUAACGCAGAUUCGAUCCCUGAUCGGAGCGUUA